GGCCAUUAACCCCAGCUGGUCAUCAAUCCUCAUUAAAAACCUCUGCAACCUAGCUCACCAAACACAGUGAAGGGCAAUCCAAUGUUUCAGGCAUCUUUGUGAUUGCCUUCUCUGUUCUCUUUUAAUUUUUGUGGCUUCCUGGGAAUGGUUCUGUUUUUCUUACUGGAGCAAAAGUUCUAUUUCAUCAAGAGUUUGUCUGACCAGUGGUUGCACAGAAGCUGGAGUUCAGAGCUGUAUGCAUAAAUGGGAGUCUUCAGUACUACAGCUGCAGUUUAGAUGCUCAAGCAUGUGGUUACAGGAAAAAGAAGGUUUCUCACUGUGUGAUGGGAUGCUCAGCUGGUGUGUGGUGGGGGAGGGGAAGAACACAAGUCCAAUAAGGACACAGAAAGUAGGGCCUCACAGUGUCUGGAGUGGAUUUAUGUUUGUUCCUGUAUUAUGAAAUGUGUUUUUCUUCUGAUGCUGUUUAUGUGGCCAAAGAAGUCUUCUAGGUCCCCUUCUAGGAAGAAGUCCCCUUUUCUAGACCUUUAGAUGCACCAAUCUCCUUCAUUCUCCCCUAUUGUAUCAUUUGUCAAAGUGAGCAGCUGUUAUGUUUGUGAGCAGCUGGCUAGUGCAUCUGGAAAAAACUAUCCUUGGAUGUGAAGAGAGGUGACGGGUGGAAUAGUUUAACUACCUGAGGAAAAGCUCACAGCCACUGGCAAGGCUGGUCUCUGUCCAAAGCUGUGUCAUGGUGGAUCAGCCCGUUGCAUCGUGCUGUUUAAUGAGCCCCCAGAUGUCUUGGAAGCUAAUGACCAUUCCCCAGUGCACUCAGAAGAAGAGACAUGUAAGAUCUCAGGGAUUGGAUCGGUUUCAUUAAUGCCCAGUGUCAAAAUAGUGGGAAAUGGCUCUGUACUGUCUGAUGGAUGGAUGAAAACAAUGAAGACCUCUCUGGCACACUGUCGUGUUCAGAUCAUGUUUUCUCUCACACUAGUGAAUACUAUUGUGGUAGGUUAGCCAGUGCCUAUAUUGCUAUCAGGGAAGUAUUGUUUAGGAGUGUUUAGUCACUGUCUAUAUUGAAGGCUCUCCAAGAUGUCAUUUCUUCUGCCCGUAGUUGUGAAGUGUUAGGUCACAUAUAGUAAUGUUUGACUUUUCUCUGUCUUUAAUAUAUUCUGUCAUUAUCUAGGAUUCUUUUAAUUGUAAGUACUUGGUAGUUUGUUUUAUGACAUCUAGUGUUGAGAUAUUUUGAAUCAAUGGCCUGCAAGUCUUGUCUGUAGCUGCUCUGAUGUAAUAAUUAAAACUCAUGUUCUGCAGUAUGCCCUGUCUCCUGGCACAGAGUGUUCAGGAGAUGCUGGGCCUGAGCCCCUGAGUGGUGUAAUGGGUUUGUCUCAGCAGGGAUUAGUGCAAAAAGCUGUGUCUGGAACACUGUGGUUGUACCAGUACUUCUGCCUGCUCUACUGCUCCAUGCCAGAGGCUGUUCCCAGACUCAAAAUGUAGGAAUGAUGCUGCUUACUUUUGCGACUUAAGCUUCUAGAAAUGAAAUGAAGUCUCUGAAUCUUAUGCCAAAAAGAUCUAGGGUCUGUUCUGAAAGCUGGUACCUAUAAAUUUGUUUCUUUCCUAUUACAAGAAGUAGAGAGCAAAUUGUCAGUUUAUGAUGUCUACUGCUGUCCAUACUGAACAGUGUAGUCACUUCUGCUCAGCCUUAAAGGUUUUAAGUGAUGUCAAAUACCAGCAAAUCAACAAAUAUUAGUGCUAUUCUAGGUAAAUUUUUAUCAUGUAUUUCCAAAUAUAUGCAUUUUCAGAGAGCCAUGGUGACUACACAUAACCCCUGUUAUUCUUGUCCUUUAUUUAGUGCUGCAGAAAGUACUUAUGUCUCAUCAGCUCCCACCUCUUACCGUGCAAAGCAAGCUAUGUAUAUUUGGGCUGCACUAAAUGCAAGGAUAAAGAAAGAAAAGAGAGCAAGCCCAGCAUUCGUGUAGUGUGGAUUUCCCACGGUGGUAUUCAAAGCAGGACAGAUCACAAUGACUGAAGUGACGUGUAUCUCAAUUGAAGAUAGAAUAAGUCCUCUCAUCAUUAAAGACUUCAAACAAAGCCACUGAAAUUAAUGAGAGAAAUUCUCAUUUGCUACAGUGUUUGUUGGCAAAAGCAUGGAACCCUUUGCAAGUUUUCCCCCUCUAACAUGAGAAUUUGCCCAUUAACAAAGUGGUUUUGAAUAAGUCAUCCAUUUUGCAAGGACUGGAUGUUUUUGGCACUGGUGUAGGACAUAGAGCAGACCUGUGCAACAGCAUGACAUUCCUUGGCUCUGAGUGCACCAGAACUUGUUCUGUAUUAGUCACUCAUAGGCAGCCCAGUAUACUUCAUGCUUAUUCAUUCACCUUGUUGAUGACUGCAAGAUGCUGCCAAUAAAUGAACCCCUGUUGAAAGCUAAUCCACAUAUAUUGUAUCUGCAUAGUUGCACUCACUGGUGUCAGUUAAGUUCAAAGGGCACAGAAAGACAGUCUGAACUUCCUUGAAUGCCUGUGACCAUAAAUAUGUG